rnacentral:rRNA from 1 species
GAGCGACAGAUAAGGAGCUUGCUCCUUUGACGUUAGCGGCGGACGGGUGAGUAACACGUGGAUAACCUACCUAUAAGACUGGGAUAACUUCGGGAAACCGGAGCUAAUACCGGAUAACAUAUUGAACCGCAUGGUUCAAUAGUGAAAGGCGGCUUUGCUGUCACUUAUAGAUGGAUCCGCGCCGUAUUAGCUAGUUGGUAAGGUAACGGCUUACCAAGGCAACGAUACGUAGCCGACCUGAGAGGGUGAUCGGCCACACUGGAACUGAGACACGGUCCAGACUCCUACGGGAGGCAGCAGUAGGGAAUCUUCCGCAAUGGGCGAAAGCCUGACGGAGCAACGCCGCGUGAGUGAUGAAGGUCUUCGGAUCGUAAAACUCUGUUAUCAGGGAAGAACAAAUGUGUAAGUAACUGUGCACAUCUUGACGGUACCUGAUCAGAAAGCCACGGCUAACUACGUGCCAGCAGCCGCGGUAAUACGUAGGUGGCAAGCGUUAUCCGGAAUUAUUGGGCGUAAAGCGCGCGUAGGCGGUUUUUUAAGUCUGAUGUGAAAGCCCACGGCUCAACCGUGGAGGGUCAUUGGAAACUGGAAAACUUGAGUGCAGAAGAGGAAAGUGGAAUUCCAUGUGUAGCGGUGAAAUGCGCAGAGAUAUGGAGGAACACCAGUGGCGAAGGCGACUUUCUGGUCUGUAACUGACGCUGAUGUGCGAAAGCGUGGGGAUCAAACAGGAUUAGAUACCCUGGUAGUCCACGCCGUAAACGAUGAGUGCUA